rnacentral:rRNA from 1 species
GAUGAACGCUGGCGGCGUGCCUAAUACAUGCAAGUCGAGCGAACAGACGAGGAGCUUGCUCCUCUGACGUUAGCGGCGGACGGGUGAGUAACACGUGGAUAACCUACCUAUAAGACUGGGAUAACUUCGGGAAACCGGAGCUAAUACCGGAUAAUAUAUUGAACCGCAUGGUUCAAUAGUGAAAGACGGUUUUGCUGUCACUUAUCGAUGGAUCCGCGCCGCAUUAGCUAGUUGGUAAGGUAACGGCUUACCAAGGCAACGAUGCGUAGCCGACCUGAGAGGGUGGUCGGCCACACUGGAACGGAGACACGGUCCAGACUCCUACGGGAGGCAGCAGUAGGGAAUCUGCCGCAGUGGGCGAAAGCCUGACGGAGCAACGCCGCGUGAGUGAUGAAGGUCUUCGGAUCGUAAAACUCUGUUAUUAGGGAAGAACAAAUGUGUAAGUAACUAUGCACGUCUUGACGGUACCUAAUCAGAAAGCCACGGCUAACUACGUG